AUGGCCCCUCUUGUGGUAGACCCACAUGUCAUCAGUGUAACUAUUUACACUCCGAAGGAUGCAGACGCAAAUGCGCCGGCCUUCAUGAUUCCAGGACCUGGAAUCAUACCAGCCGAUGGGUGGUGGUUUAUCGCUCGUUCAGUUGAUAGCGUACCACAUAACUGGAAUUACCGAUGCAAGUCGAAGAAGGAUUGGUCGGUGCUGCCGGCUGGCGUCAAGUUUGAUCCCACGGAUCAGGAGCUGAUCGAGCACCUUGAGGCCAAAGUGAGUGCUAACAGCGCGAGAUCUCACCCUCUCAUCGAUUUGUUCAUACCAACCAUCGAUAGCGAGCACGGCAUAUGCUACACCCAACCUGAGAAACUUUCAGGUAUCACACUGAGUGGCCUAAGGAAGCAUUUCUUCCAGCGCAAUUCCAGGGCGUUCAAAAGGGGCACAUGGACGCGUCGCAAGAUACAGUCAAAGUGCGGCAUGCAUGCGAUGUGGCCCAAGGCCGGCAAUACCUUGCCGGUGAUGGUCAACGGCCGGCAGACGGGCAGCAAAAAGGUUCUGGUGCUGCACACCAACAAGAACUUUGACCAGCAGAGGACCAACUGGGUGAUGCACCAGUACCACCUCGGGGACCUGGAACAAGAGAAGGAGCGGGAGCUGGUCCUCUGCAAGAUUUUCUACCAGACGAACACUAGGGCCAGGAGUAAAAAGAUUAUAAGUCGAGCAAGUUUCAACUGGGUUGUAGACUGCCCAGGCUUGGUUUUGUUUUCAGCAGGCCCAACCCAUGACGACAACGGGGCACAAAGAUCCAGCAGGGAAGCAGGGUGUGGUCCUCUGCUCGACAGGGAGCAGAAGCAGAGCAGCGGCGCCGGAACUUCAGGGAUGCGGAGGGAGGCGUGGAUCGAGGAGGUCUCCGGCGAGGGUGAUGCUCCUCCUGUGGACGCAUUAGAGAGAGAGAGGGAGACGGGUGAGAGAUAG
rnacentral:rRNA from 1 species